CUUAACUCAUAACCAAAAUGGACUGC
rnacentral:piRNA from 1 species